rnacentral:rRNA from 1 species
AGCGAACGCUGGCGGCAGGCCUAACACAUGCAAGUCGAACGAACCUUUCGGGGUUAGUGGCGGACGGGUGAGUAACACGUGGGAACGUGCCUUUAGGUUCGGAAUAACUCAGGGAAACUUGUGCUAAUACCGAAUGUGCCCUUCGGGGGAAAGAUUAAUCGCCUUUAGAGCGGCCCGCGUCGGAUUAGCUAGUUGGUUGAGGUAAUGGCUCACCAAGGCGACGAUCAGUAGCUGGUCUGAGAGGAUGAUCAGCCACAUUGGGACUGAGACACGGCCCAAAACGAGGAGGGAGGGAGCGGGGGUGAAGCCGACGCAGCGGGCGAAAGACUGACGCAGGCAUGCGGCGUGAAUGAUGAAGUUCUUGUUAUGGUACAAGUAGGCGAGCGAGGCGACUAAGGACGAUACCGGGAGAAGCGGCCCGGGACACUGUCGCGCCAGCAGCGGCGGUCAGGGUGGAAGGGCAGACGCACGCAC